rnacentral:rRNA from 1 species
CUAAUACCGCAUAAACCUGAGAAGGGAAAGCAGAAAGGCGCUAAAAGAGGAGCCCGCGGCCGAUUAGCUAGUUGGUGAGGUAAAGGCUCACCAAGGCGGGGAUCGGUAGCCGGCCUGAGAGGGCACACGGCCACACUGGCACUGAAACACGGGCCAGACUCCUACGGGAGGCAGCAGUGGGGAAUCUUGCACAAUGGAGGCAACUCUGAUGCAGCGACGCCGCGUGAGCGAUGAAGCCCUUCGGGGUGUAAAGCUCUUUCGGCAGGGACGAUAAUGACGGUACCGGAAGAAGAAGCUGCGGCUAACUACGUGCCAGCAGCCGCGGUAAUACGUAGGCAGCGAGCGUUGUUCGGAAUUACUGGGCGUAAAGAGUGUGUAGGCGGUGAUCUAAGUUCGGUGUGAAAUCUCCCGGCUCAACUGGGAGGGUGCGCCGGAAACUGGAGUGCUUGAGCGUGGGAGAGGAAAGCGGAAUUCCUGGUGUAGCGGUGAAAUGCGUAGAUAUCAGGAGGAACACCGGUGGUGUAGACGGCUUUCUGGACCAAAGCUGACGCUGAGACACGAAAGCGUGGGUAGCAAACA